GGGGAUUUGGCUCAGUGGUAGAGCGCUUGCCUAGCACGCGCAAGGCCCUGGGUUCGAUCCCCAGCUCCG
rnacentral:tRNA from 1 species